AUUGAACGCUGGCGGCAUGCUUUACACAUGCAAGUCGAACGGUAACAGGCCUUCGGGUGCUGACGAGUGGCGAACGGGUGAGUAAUGCAUCGGAACGUACCCAGAGGUGGGGGAUAUCGCAGCGAAAGCUGUGCUAAUACCGCAUGUGAUCUGAGGAUGAAAGCGGGGGACCGAGCAGCAAUGUUUGGCCUCGCGCCUUUGGAGCGGCCGAUGUCGGAUUAGCUAGUUGGUGGGGUAAAGGCCUACCAAGGCGACGAUCCGUAGCUGGUCUGAGAGGACGACCAGCAACACGGGGAGUGAGACACGGCCCGGACUCCUACGGGAGGCAGCAGUGGGGAAUGUUGGACAAUGGGCGAAAGCCUGAUCCAGCAAUGCCGCGUGCGGGAAGAAGGCCUUAGGGUUGUAAACCGCUUUUGGCAGGAACGAAACGGUGUCCGCUAAUACCGGGCGCUAAUGACGGUACCUGCAGAAUAAGCACCGGCUAACUACGUG
rnacentral:rRNA from 1 species